rnacentral:lncRNA from 1 species
CAAAGGGCCCGUUGCAGCAGGGGGGUGGGGAGGCCUCCAAGGAAAAGCCAAAAGCCGCGCCUUGCAGUAGCUAGCAGCCCUCCUACAUGCACAGCUGCUGGCCAGCUUUUCCAGAUGUCCUCUCCAAACAGCAGCAUUUUAUUUUUUUUAGAAAGGAAUCUGAUUAAAUGUAUCCAUUCUCUCUGCUUCUGCCCUCUCCAAGGAAGACUUCCAGCAUUUGCAGAAGAGCUGCUUCAGUUUAUCUUGCCUCGCAGGAAGGAGAGACUUGGAGGUAUCUGAUCACCAAGACCCCCCGUCCUACCAUGCUUCCACUCUGUCACCCCCAGUCCUAGCCUGCAUUUCAGAUUCCAGGAUAAUCAGAGGGGGGAUUUAGGACACAGACUUCUUUUCCUCCUUCCUGUAUUUCUCCUACUACACUCAAGAAUUUUUUAUUACACAAACUGGUGUUGCUCUUGCCCUUUUUUAUGAGGCACACAAAGACACUACAAUGCUUUCUAUGUCCAAGAACUCUUUUAAAAUUAAACACCCUCUUCCGGAUACAGGGCCCAGGAGUCCAAAGUCCCCCCACAUGAGCAGAAAGAGGAAUGGGAAUUUUCACUCUCUCCAGUGCAUUGAAGGUGAAUAUAUCCAAGAAGUAGCAGAUCAUGUUAAAAAAAGCAGUUCUUCCCGAGAUGGAGAAGGCCAUAUUCCUGGCACACUUUACUGUACUAAUCUGAGAGUGGCCUUCUUACCAGAUUCCUCUCCAAACAAUGAGAAUGACUCUUGCUAUCUGUUUAUGUGCAGUGACUAUGAAGUGGCCCUACCAGGUAUUGGAAAACUGGUGGCUGGUAGGUUCAGAGGAAAAAAUGCCUAUUUAAUCUUUGGGUUUAUAAUAGCCA